rnacentral:lncRNA from 1 species
AUUUCUGCUAGCUUUUAAAACUCUAUUAAUACUUUAAUUAUGAAUUUUCUUUGUUUUUAUAGUCUAAGGCUAUUUGAUGGGUAGGCAGAGUUUUAUAAAUUAAAUAAGUAGAUAUUAUUCACUUACGGAGAAAAAGAAGAAAAUAAUCAGAGAAAGUAAACUCUUUGGGGGAGUGACUAUAAUUAGUUCCCUAAUUUAAAUGAAACUCUGCCCACAGCAUUGAACUUUAGAGACUUGACAAGACCAUGGCUUCUGAAAUAAUGGCACCUUCUGCACUGCCCCCUCCCCUACCUUGUGCCUCAGACGCAAGAAAGCUUUCAACCAUCAUGUGUGUUUGAUGUGAAAAGGGAAUAAAAUAGUACAGAAACCUGAAGGCCUGUGGAUGCCAGUCUUUACUCUUGCUGAUGGGUUAUGUGAACUUGGGCAAAUUAUUUACUUUCUCUGAACCUCAUCUCUGAAAGUGUAGAUAAUAAUUUCUAUUUUUCCUGUCAUUAUAGGGUCUUUAUAAGGGAGAAAUGACAUAAUGGAUGAAAAAUUACGUGCUAAACUGUAAGGCUAGCCUGGACUUGUUCAUGUGGCAAAGUCAGAGGAGCAAGAGAGAGAAAGCAAAAAUGUGCUUUUUCAAGCCUUUGCUUGUGUUAUAUUUGCUAACAUCCCAUUGUUCACACGUGGCUGAACCCAGAGUCAAGGGUUGGGGCGGAAAACCCCAUCCACAGUGGGAAGGUGCUGCAACAUUAUACGGAAAAGAAAUUGAGUAGAGAAGUGGAUGCAUGUUCGAUUCCUGCACUCCCCGCCUACAGACCUCAGAGCCCAGGCCAUGGCAGUAUUGCAAAGGGACAACAAACCCAUGGGUCCCUCCAGAAUGGACUGUAAAUGAAAUAUGUUCUAGUGUCUUUAAAGAAUAAAAUAGAAAUUUAUUUAAAAGUGUUG